rnacentral:rRNA from 1 species
UACGGGGGGAGCAAGCGUUGUUCGGAUUUACUGGGCGUAAAGGGCGCGUAGGCGGUCGUGACAAGUCACUUGUGAAAUCUCCGGGCUUAACUCGGAACGGUCAAGUGAUACUGUCGGACUAGAGUACAGAAGGGGCAACUGGAAUUCUCGGUGUAGCGGUGAAAUGAGUAGAUAUCGAGAGGAACACCUGCGGCGAAGGCGGGUUGCUGGGCUGAUACUGACGCUGAGGCGCGAAAGCCAGGGGAGCAAACGGG